UACGUAGGGGGCAAGCGUUGUCCGGAAUCAUUGGGCGUAAAGAGCGUGUAGGCGGCUUGAUAAGUCCGCUGUGAAAGUCCAGGGCUCAACCCUGGAAUGCCGGUGGAAACUGUCAAGCUUGAGUCCGGAAGAGGCGAGUGGAAUUCCUGGUGUAGCGGUGAAAUGCGCAGAUAUCAGGAGGAACACCAAUGGCGAAGGCAGCUCGCUGGGACGGUACUGACGCUGAGACGCGAAAGCGUGGGGAGCAAACAGGG
rnacentral:rRNA from 1 species